rnacentral:rRNA from 1 species
GUGCCAGCAGCCGCGGUAAUACGAAGGGGGCUAGCGUUGCUCGGAAUGACUGGGCGUAAAGGGCGCGUAGGCUGUCUGUACAGUCAGAUGUGAAAUCCCCGGGCUUAACCUGGGAACUGCAUUUGAUACGUGCAGACUAGAGUCCGAGAGAGGGUUGUGGAAUUCCCAGUGUAGAGGUGAAAUUCGUAGAUAUUGGGAAGAACACCGGUUGCGAAGGCGGCAACCUGGCUCGGAACUGACGCUGAGGCGCGAAAGCGUGGGGAGCGAACAGGAUUAGAUACCCUGGUAGUCCACGCUGUAAACGAUGUGUGCUGGAUGUUGGGUGAUUUUAUCAUUCAGUGUCGGAGCUAACGCGUUAAGCACACCGCCUGGGGAGUACGGCCGCAAGGUUGAAACUCAAAGGAAUUGACGG